UACGUAGGCAGCAAGCGUUGUUCGGAAUUACUGGGCGUAAAGAGUGUGUAGGCGGUGCUCUAAGUUCGGUGUGAAAUCUCCCGCUUAACUGGGAGGGUGCGCCGGAAACUGGAGUGCUCGAGCGUGGGAGAGGAAAGCGGAAUCCUGGUGUAGCGGUGAAAUGCGUAGAUAUCAGGAGGAACACCUGCGGUGUAGACGGCUUUCUGGACCAUGCUGACGCUGAGACACGAAAGCGUGGGUAG
rnacentral:rRNA from 1 species